CAGUCCUACCUAGAUGAGAGAACAUUUUCAGUGAAUAUUAGUGACUCUGAAUCAUCUGCUGCUUCAAUGCCAUAUGGUGUCCCGCAGGGCUCAAUUCUGGGCCCACUGCUUUUCUCUCUGUAUUUACUGCCUCUGGGUUUAAUCCUCAGGAAACAUGGGAUUUAAUUUCAUUGCUAUGCUGACGAUUGCCAGAUUUAUUUGCCCCUGAAGCAGAAGGAUGUCCAUUCCAUCAAACAUCUCCUGGCAUGUCUAGGUGAUUUUAAAGCUUGGUUGGCCUUGAGCUUUUUAAAUUUUAAUGAAAAGAAAACAGAGGUGAUGGUGUUUGGACCCAGUGGCUCCUGUGAGUCCUCCUCUGUUGACCUGGGACCCUUGGAGGUUUAUUUUAAACCUGUUAUUACAGAUCUUGGUUUUAAGGUGGACAGUGAUUUCAAAUUGGACAGCCAAAUC